UACGAAGGGGGCUAGCGUUGCUCGGAAUUACUGGGCGUAAAGGGCUCGUAGGUGGCCAACUAAGUCGGACGUGAAAUCCCUCAGCUUAACUGGGGAACUGCGUCCGAUACUGGAUGGCUUGAGUUUGGGAGAGGGAUGCGGAAUUCCAGGUGUAGCGGUGAAAUGCGUAGAUAUCUGGAAGAACACCGGUGGCGAAGGCGGCAUCCUGGACCAACACUGACACUGAGGAGCGAAAGCCAGGGGAGCAAACGGG
rnacentral:rRNA from 1 species